GAUGAACGCUGGCGGCGUGCCUAAUACAUGCAAGUCGAACGAACAGACGACGAGCUUUCUCCUCUGACGUUAGCUGCUUACGGGUGAGUAACACGUGGAUAACCUACCUAUAAGACUGCUAUAACUUCGUGAGACCGGAGCUAAUACCGGGUAAUAUAUUGAACCGCAUGGUUCAAUAGUUAAAGACGGUUUUGCUGUAACUUCUAGAUGUAUCCGCGCCGCAUUCGCUAGUUGGUAAGGUAGCGGCUUACCAAGGCAACGAUGCGUACCCGCCCUGAGGGGGUGAACGGCCACACGAGAACUGAGACAGGGUCCAGACUCCUAGGGGAGGCAGCAGCAGGGAAUCUUACGCAAGGGGCGAAAGCCUAACAGAGCAACACGGCGUGAGUGAUGAAGCUCCUAGGAUCGUAGAACUCUGUUAUUAGGGAAGAACUAAAGUGUAAGUAACUAUGAACGUAGUGACGGUACCUAAUCAGGAAGCCCCGGCUAACUACGUG
rnacentral:rRNA from 1 species